rnacentral:rRNA from 1 species
GACGAACCGUGCGAACGUUGUUCGGAUUCACUGGGCUUAAAGGGCGCGUAGGCGGAUGGCCAAGUCAAGGGUGAAAGCCCCCGGCCCAACCGGGGAAGUGCCUCUGAUACUGGUCAUCUCGAGCGGGAUAGGGGCGGACGGAACUUCCGGUGGAGCGGUGAAAUGCGUUGAUAUCGUAAGGAACACCCGUGGCGAAAGCGGCUCACUGGGUCUUUUCUGACGCUGAUGCACGAAAGCUAGGGGAGCAAACGGG